rnacentral:rRNA from 1 species
UACAGAGGGCUCAAGCGUUGUUCGGAUUCAUUGGGCGUAAAGGGUGCGUAGGUGGCGCCGUAAGUCGGGUGUGAAAUUUCGGAGCUUAACUCCGAAACUGCAUUCGAUACUGCGGUGCUUGAGGACUGGAGAGGAGAAUGGAAUUCCUGGUGUAGCGGUGAAAUGCGCAGAUAUCAGGAAGAACACCCGUGGCGAAGGCGGUUCUCUGGGACGGUACUGACGCUGAGACGCGAAAGCGUGGGGAGCGAACAGG